rnacentral:rRNA from 1 species
UGGGGAAUUUUGGACAAUGGGCGAAAGCCUGAUCCAGCAAUGCCGCGUGUGUGAAGAAGGCCUUCGGGUUGUAAAGCACUUUUGUCCGGAAAGAAAUCCUUGGCUCUAAUACAGUCGGGGGAUGACGGUACCGGAAGAAUAAGCACCGGCUAACUACGUGCCAGCAGCCGCGGUAAUACGUAGGGUGCAAGCGUUAAUCGGAAUUACUGGGCGUAAAGCGUGCGCAGGCGGUUUGCUAAGACCGAUGUGAAAUCCCCGGGCUCAACCUGGGAACUGCAUUGGUGACUGGCAGGCUAGAGUAUGGCAGAGGGGGGUAGAAUUCCACGUGUAGCAGUGAAAUGCGUAGAGAUGUGGAGGAAUACCGAUGGCGAAGGCAGCCCCCUGGGCCAAUACUGACGCUCAUGCACGAAAGCGUGGGGAGCAAACAGGAUUAGAUACCCUGGUAGUCCACGCCCUAAACGAUGUCAACUAGUUGUUGGGGAUUCAUUUCCUUAGUAACGUAGCUAACGCGCGAAGUUGACCGCCUGGGGAGUACGGUCGCAAGAUUAAAACUCAAAGGAAUUGACGGGGUCAUAGCUGUUUCCU